rnacentral:rRNA from 1 species
GACGAACGCUGGCGGCGUGCCUAAUACAUGCAAGUAGGACGCAGUUGCGAACGGGUGAGUAACGCGUCGGUAACUGCCUAUUAGAGGGGGGUAACUAUUGGAAACGAUAGCUAAUACCACAUACUAGUAGAUGGACCUGCGUUGUAUUGGCUAGUAGGUAGGGUAAUGGCCUACCUAGGCGACGAUACAUAGCCGACCUGAGAGGGUGAUGGGGCACCCUGGGACGGGGGAACGGCCCAGGAGCCUACGGGAGGCAGCAGUAGGGAAUCGUCGGCAAUGGGGGGAACGCUGAACGAGCAACGCCGCGGGAGUGAAGAAGGUUUUCGGAUCGUAAAGCUCUGUUGUUAAGGAAGCGGUACUUAACCAGAAAGGGACGGCUAACUACGUGCCAGCAGCCGCGGUAAUAC